UCCAGCCUGAGUGACAGGAGUUAAGCCC
rnacentral:piRNA from 1 species